AACAACAUUGCCUUCAUUGUUCAUGCCAGCAUUCAUCAGUCUCCUAGAUUACUCGUCUAAAGCCUUUAUUCCAAGCAACCAUUUGGCCUUCCAGUAUUGUCUGCAACUCUGCCCACGUCUCUGAUAGUCCUUCUAAAUUGAUCACGUUUUUAAAAAAUAGUUGGUUGGAAUAUUGAAAUUAAAAAUUAUUGAAAGUCUUAGUGUAAAAAUAUUUUUUGUAAAAAGGUUAAGGGAAUAAUGAAAAAUAAAAAUAAUUGGUUUUUGUGAGUUUGAAUAGGGAAAAGCAUGUAAUUAAUAUAAAAAAUAAUUGUGACAGUAAGAUUAAAUAUUGUACCAUAAAUAUUCAACCAGUUUUUGCCUCCAAAUCCGCCACUUUCUUUAGUGAUGGUCUAACUCCCUUUUUGGUCCAUUUAAG
rnacentral:lncRNA from 1 species